rnacentral:rRNA from 1 species
UACAGAGGUCCCGAGCGUUGUUCGGAUUCACUGGGCGUAAAGGGUGCGUAGGUGGCUUGAAAAGUUUGAUGUGAAAGCUCAGGGCUUAACCCUGAAAUGGCAUUGAAUACCGUCGAGCUGGAGGUUUGGAGGGGGGACUGGAAUUCUUGGUGUAGCAGUGAAAUGCGUAGAUAUCAAGAGGAACACCAGUGGCGAAGGCGAGUCCCUGGACAACACCUGACACUGAGGCACGAAAGCUAGGGGAGCAAACAGG